CGAGGCAUGGAAUGAGCACUUUGUGGGGGCGGUUCAUGAGGGGGAAGGUGGUUGGGGGUGGGACUCAUUUGCAUAUAUUAGCAUACGAGGGUGGGAUUGGGGUGUUAAUUAGUAUAUGCUAAUGAGGAUGGGAUCGGCCAUAGGGAAGAAGUCGUUAAUUAGCGGCCUUCACGAGCUGCGGAUCGUUACUAUUGAGGCUUCGUGUUGGUUGAAGGCUGGGCUCAUUUGCAUACAUUAGCAUAUGAGGAUCGAGAGUGCAUACGAGGAUCGAGAAUGCUCGCUAAUUAGCAUUGCUAAUGAGGACGGGAUCAGCACUAACGAAGACUUCGUUAAUUAGCGACCUUAACGAGUUGUCCAUUGUUACCAUUGAGGCUCUUCAGUGAUUGAAUGCUGGGCUCAUUUGCAUAAAUUAGCAUACGAGGAUCAAGAAGGGUCGCUAAUUAAGGCCACUAAUGAGGUUCGGAUUGACGAUGAUGGAGACUUCGUUAAUUAGCAGCCUUGUUAAUUAGCGGCCUUGACGAGCUGUGGAUUGCUAUCAUGGAGGCCUCGCAUUGGUUGAAAGCUGAGCUCAUUUGCAUGAAUUAGCAUACGGGGAUCAAGAAAGGAUGUUAAUUAGAGCUGCUAAUGAAGAUUGGAUCAGCGCUAACGAAGAGUUUGUUAAUUAGGAACCUUAAUGAGCAAUCCAUCGUUACCUUCGAGGCUUUUCAGUGGUUGAAAGCUGGGCUCAUUUGCAUAAAUUAGCAUACGAGGAUCAAGAAAGGACGUUAAUUGGCGCUGCUAAUGAGGAUCCAAUCAGCGCUAACGAAGACUUCGUUAAUUAGCGACCUUAAUGAGCUGUGGAUCGUUACCAUGGAGGUCUCGGAUUGGUUGAAAGCUGAGCUCAUUUGCAUAAAUUAGCAUACGAGGAUCAAGAAGGGGCAUUAAUUAAGGCUGCUAAUGAAGAUUGGAUCAGCGCUAACGAAGAGUUUGUUAAUUAGGAACCUUAAUGAGCAAUCCAUCGUUACCUUGGAGGCUUUUCAGUGGUUGAAAGCUGGGCUCAUUUGCAUAAAUUAGCAUACGAGGAUCAAGAAAGGACGUUAAUUGGCGCUGCUAAUGAGGAUCCAAUCAGUGCUAACGAAGACUUCGUUAAUUAGCGACCUUAACGAGCUGCGGAUCGUUACCAUGGAGGCCACGGAUUGGUUGAAAGCUGGGCUCAUUUGCAUAAAUUAGCAUACGAGGAUCAAGAAGCGUCGUUAAUUAGAGCUGCUAAUGAGGAUCCGAUCAGCGCUAAUGAAGAUCUUGUUAAUUAGCGGAUGAAGGCUUCGUUAAUGAGCGGCUUUGACGAGCUGCGGGUCGUUACCAUGGAGGCUUCUCAUUGGUCGAAAGCUGGGCUCAUUUGCAUACAUUUGCAUAGGAGGAUCACGAAAGCUCGUUCCUGAGCACUAAUUAACGGGGCUUAAUGAGGCUGCUUAAUGAGCUCGGCGCAGCGGUAACGAAGGCCGCCUUAAUUAGCGAGCGCGGCUCCCGGCGUCGGCUUCCCAUUGGUCGAGAGCCCCCCUCAUUAGCAUAUAUGAAUGGUUAAUGAGGGGGCGGUGUUGAAUGGGUUUCAAUGGGGGCCAAUGGGGUUUAAUGGGGUCUUAUAGGGUUUAAUGGGGGUUAAUGGGGUUUUAAUGGGGUUUAAUGAG
ensembl:lncRNA